CACGUAGGGCGCAAGCGUUGUCCGGAAUUAUUGGGCGUAAAGAGCUCGUAGGCGGCUUGUCGCGUCGGCUGUGAAAACCUGGGGCUCAACCCCGAGCCUGCAGUGGAUACGGGCAGACUAGAGGUAGGUAGGGGAGAAUGGAAUUCCCGGUGUAGCGGUGAAAUGCGCAGAUAUCGGGAGGAACACCGGUGGCGAAGGCGGUUCUCUGGGCCUUACCUGACGCUGAGGAGCGAAAGCGUGGGGAGCGAACAGG
rnacentral:rRNA from 1 species